rnacentral:rRNA from 1 species
AGUCGAGCGGACCGAAGGAAGCUUGCUCCUUUAGGUUAGCGGCGGACGGGUGAGUAACACGUGGGCAACCUGCCCUGCAGACUGGGAUAACUUCGGGAAACCGGAGCUAAUACCGGAUAACACCGAAAACCGCAUGGUUUUCGGUUGAAAGGCGGCUUUUAGCUAUCACUGCAGGAUGGGCCCGCGGCGCAUUAGCUAGUUGGUGAGGUAACGGCUCACCAAGGCGACGAUGCGUAGCCGACCUGAGAGGGUGACCGGCCACACUGGGACUGAGACACGGCCCAGACUCCUACGGGAGGCAGCAGUAGGGAAUCUUCCGCAAUGGACGAAAGUCUGACGGAGCAACGCCGCGUGAGCGAAGAAGGUCUUCGGAUCGUAAAGCUCUGUUGUCAGGGAAGAACAAGUACCGUUCGAACAGGGCGGUACCUUGACGGUACCUGACGAGGAAGCCACGGCUAACUACGUGCCAGCAGCCGCGGUAAU